rnacentral:misc_RNA from 1 species
CUUUCACACCGAUCGGUCCCAUGCCUGGGCCACCGCCGCCGUGCGGAAUGCAGAAAGUUUUAUGCAGGUUAAGAUGCGAAACGUCCGCGCCAAUAAAGCCCGGUGAGGUAAUGCCGACCUGAGCGUUCAUGUUCGCGCCGUCAAGGUAAACCUGACCGCCGAACUGGUGCACAACUUCACACACCUCACGGAUCGUUUCUUCAUACACGCCGUGGGUGGACGGAUAGGUCACCAUGAUGCAAGAAAGGUUCGCAGCAUGUUGUUCUGCUUUUGCCCGCAGAUCGUCCAGGUCGAUGUUGCCGUUCUUAUCACAGGCGACUACCACCACCUGCAUUCCUGCCAUAUGUGCAGAAGCAGGGUUAGUGCCGUGAGCAGAGG